rnacentral:lncRNA from 1 species
UGAAGUUAACAUACAUACAUGACAUGUCACAUUCAAAAUUGAGAUAUACUGCAGAUAACACAUUACAUGCAUGAGUGGCAAUCAUAUGGGUUCUGCUUUGAAUCACACGAUUCAGACAGUUGUGAACAUUGAUGAUCAUGAUUGUGUGGUAACUGUAUAUACUGAUUACGAACCAGGAAAAGAAACUAACGGUAGCUCACAGUUCUUUUAGAAAAACAUAAAGGUACUAACUGGCAGUUAUAUUUCCACCAUCACUCCUAGUUGUGACUUCCUACAAGAAAUGAGAACGAAAAUGAUAUUACAGCCUCAUGUCCCUUCCUUGUUUGGCCAUUAUAUUCGACAUGUUCCUUCCCUGAACAAAAGAGAUCAAUAGUGAGCAUUAAAGACCCCUGAAAACUCAAUAGGAUAUACGCCAUGGCAGUAUCUGCCCCGUUUUCAUAUUCAUUCAAUGCACAUUACCAAAAUCUAAUAGUAAUCAAACUUGAAUUAAAAUGGUACAUAAAGUUUUUGUAGUUAGAGAUAGGACCAAGUUGGAAUAGUAUAGAGAAAAUCAAACUUUAUCCUAGCAUUACACGGAAGAAACGUGACCCACUUAUCAUAUGAACAGAAACAGACCGAGAAAUUUAUUUACCAUCAGAUGUCGAUCUCUAUAUUUCCGCUUUGCAAAUGAUCCCAAUUUAAAGCUUGAUAUCCGUUGGAAUCUUCACAUUACACUGCAACCUACAAAGCUUGAAUAAGGCCACUAACGUUCAGAGCAUAGCUUAAAGAAUUGUGCAAUUAGCUCAUGAAAGCCCCCUGAUGUAACAUUUUUACCUGGUUGGUGAUGCAUGGUGGUCUACUAUGCGCAAUAAAAUACAACAAGUAAACCAGAUAAUGAUCAUAUUAAGUACUACAUCAUCAAUAGGCUGAUCAUGUUUGCACUGCCAAUUACUACAGACUUACACACGCUCCCUUCAAAUUUCAAGAACUGCUUAGCCAACAAUUCCAAGUUCAAGCAUGAAGUAGUCAAAAUGAAAUAACUCAAAAUAUUUUUAGAAUCACAACAUAGAAGGAUACUCUUGAGGACUAUGUGAACCUAGAAGACCAGGAAAAACAAUAUUUCAACUUCGCAAUGAUAUAAGGGCAUCUCCAUCACUGGGCGCUUAGCCCCGGCGCCAGGCUCGUAAUCCCAGCAGAUUAGCGGUUGCCGGCUAUAAUCCUGGCGUCAACCCUGGCGUCGACGCCAAAUCACGCACCCGGCGCUUGGCCAUUUUUCUUCCAUCACUUAGCAUCUACGUUGUUUAGUUAAUUAGCGUCUAGCGUUGAGGGAUGAGGCGCUUAGGUGUUCUUCAGAUUUUAUUAUUUUGUUCGUAAGCGCCUAUGUAAGCUCCUAGCAUUGUAGAUGCCCAAAGGGAAACAUAUUAAAUAAUAGCAGUUGUGAAUGGGCAUAUAAGUAUAUAUCACCACCUUUAGUCCACGACAACAUGUAAAUUAUCUACUUAAUAGUAAACGGUGUAUCUAGAGAUAAUGCUAACCAAUUCUGCAUACAAAACGCUUUCGAGAUGGAAAAUUAUAAUUUACUCCUAACGUUCCUUGUAGAUUGUGGUUGCUCAAAGUCAAAUAGCUGCAAUACAUGAAAACUUUUAUAUCAAUUAAAACUACUUCAGUAGUACAUACGCACAUGAUCAAGGAUAAAAUGAAUACUACUACACACAAAUGGUUAAGUAGACAAAACACCAUAUGUUCAAUCACACAAGCGGCAAGCAUGAGCCAAAAUAGAACAAAACUCUGUGCCAAAUCCUGAAUAUAAACACAAUCGAAACUAAUAUCCAUGACAACACAUAGGAAAGAAAAGAAUGCAGUAGAUAAAUAGAAAAGGAAGUGAACAAAACCACUGGCAGAACAAGCAAGCAACAACAUGCAGAGAUCUUACAGCCUGCGACAUAAAAGGGGAGGAACUCAUCAGGCAGAAGCAUUAAUCCAAAAGAACCUCAUCUCCACUGACCAUGCAGACCCAGCCACUCAUGCUCUCCACGACGACGAGGUGCGCCCGAUCCGGAAUCACGGAAAAUCACACUGCAAACUAAAUACUGGAGCAUCAGAUUAGCAGCUAUAUAUUCCAAGCAUGCAUUUUUAACUGUAAAAGAGCUAAUAAAGUGUUUACUUCAAGAAAAUACAGCAGGCCAAACAAAAAAUGUCUUUCUAAAGGUGAACAAAAAAUGAAAUAUCAAUCCUAAUAAUUAGGGUGUGCAGGACCAAAUAAUUAAUAUGCCACUUUGGAAAGAAAACUUCAAAAUGUACCAACGAUUGUGUUCACAGUGUACAAUUGGUCGGCCUGUCAUAUUCUUCUCAUCAUCAGUUUAUUACACGAAAAAGGACUGCCAUAGCCUCACAUAUGUGCUCGGGAUGCUGCAACAAGCAACAAACUACCAACAGAAGACAAAUUUGCAUAUGUACCUAUUGAGAAACAACAUAUAAAUUUAUUGGAUGAUAAUUUGAAUGUUGUACAAAAUUCAAGAGAAACUUUCCACUACCAUAUAGUGCUCGCCGCAUUACUUCAUUGCACAUAUACUCUGUAAUUGAACUAUUGACUGUAGGAAAAAUAUGUAGUGCACACAUUUACCAACAUAUAUGUGGGAAAGACACGUGCCUAAAAGAGGGCACAUUCAAAAGUGGCAACUUGUACGACAUAAUAAGCAGUAAACACAUAAACAAAGCACGCAUUUAAGCACACUUAUUCACACCUUGCCUGAUUCAGUGCUAUACCGGUUGUCAUGAAAGCAUUCAAACUGACACGAUGACCCUAUGCACUGCAUCUAUCAUUAAGUAGAGGAGAAGAUCAUAAAGAAACAAAAUAAAGGCAUUCACCUGCAUCAUAUCCCACCUUGUAUUGAUAUGAAUAUGAAAGCCUCCAAUAAUUAAAGAAUUCAUAGUUGAGGGCAUCUGGUAUUAAGUUCGCUAGUUCUUGUGUGUCCCCAUAUCCAUCACCAUCUAUACACAUUGAAGGUUCCUCUGGUAGUCAUCAUGGUAAAGGGAUUGAGAAAGCAUUGGAAUAAAUUUCUCAUGUAGUAAGACGUUGAACCUUAGCAAAGCAGCAGUAAUCAACGGCUCAAGCAAGCACCAGAUCAACUUGACAACUUUACCUGCAGCCACACCUUGCAACAAAGAGAAUACAAACAUUAAAAACAGGAGAAGAAGUUAUGAAGAAAACCUCACAAGGCUACCAAUAACGCACUCCUAAUAUGAUCAUUCAGUUACUAUCAUCUUAUAUAUGAAAAUGAGAUAUUAUGACACAGUGGUAGGAGCAAGUGAUAGUGGAUCAAGCCUCCGAGUUCAAGCACUUACAUUGCAAUAAUUUGGCUUCCUCCUUUUAAUUGUGAUUAAACAUACUUAAGGGAGUGUCUGUUCUAAAACCAAUGAACAAGCCUAAACAUGAAUGGUUCCAGUAGACUUGAUAACCCAUUCAAGCUUAAGUGACCUUGAAGCGCUGCUCUCUGGAGCCAUGAUCGCGACACCAAGAACUCGCACGAGACAUGGAGGAGCACGUCAGCACAACACCCUCACACCAAUGCCUCCAACCUGCAUAUGAGGCUUUUCUGAUUAGGAACUAUAUGGUAGAGAAACAACAUUUAUCUGUUCUAACUGAGUCUCAAAAGUGAUCAAAUUGGACCAUAUUCAAAAUCCAUAAAUAACCAAACUGGAACAUGUCCAAAAACUAUAGCUCUAAUAAAAGGAUUCCUUUAACCACAAUAGCCAAGAAAGUAAACAAAUUCUGGUGGAUUAACUUGGUGACUUAGACAAACAUGAGAUCUGGAAACAAUACACUGGAAUAAAGUGGUCAUUCUGACAAUGUCCAUGGAACUGAAACCACCAUGAGUACCAUUGUUGAAAUUAUGACAAAUCUCAUUAUUCCAAAGUAGAGUCAGUGCACUUCUUCUUAGAAAAAGUUAAAUAGUUCUAAAUAAUCAGUAAUAUAAUACACCAUAUGUUGAGUGAAAUCUGUCUUUUGGAUUGAGUAAUUAAAUAACUACAAAGAUCUUGCAAAAUCACAACAUAACAAGAAUCUGAAGCUUUGUUGAGUCCUUUUUUUCUAUAGAACAUAAAGCUUGAUGCCAAUAACCUUACGGUCCUUAUCUACGCCCAAUCAAAAAUCGAAUGGUCAUUUCCUUGUCCUUUUCCAUUUUCUCGAGUGACAUUGACCAACUUAGUUAUCCCAAAAAGUUCCUACAAUUGUGACCCUGCUGCUGCUGCCUCACACAUACCUCUCCUCAGCCCUACAAUGUGUGUGCCGCCCAAAGCUCAGACAUUGUUGCUCCAUCCCCCUACCGCUAGCCUACAGACCAUCCCUGCUCCUCCACCCAGCCGUGAAGUCUAAGAAUUAGCAGCAGGAAGAAUAAACUGAAAAAUAGAGCUCGUUAUGACAGAAGUAUUUCACCGAAUAGCAUAUAGGCAAAUAUGGGAAGAGUCAUUCACCUUAGAGUUGAAGGCAAGAACCCAACAAGAAUCACAAUCUACAAUUAGAGAGGAGUCAGGGAAAGGGAGAGCUCAC